rnacentral:tRNA from 1 species
GGGGAUGUAGCUUAGUGGUGGAGCAAUUGCCUAGCAAGCAUGCGAAGCCCUGGGUUCCAUACCCAGCACCACGA